CGCGCAGGCGGCUGGUCAAGUCCACGUGAAAUCUCCCGGCUUAACUGGGAAAUUGCAUCGGAAACUGAUCGGCUUGAAGGUGGGAGAGGGUAGCGGAAUUCCCGGUGUAGUGGUGAAAUGCGUAGAUAUCGGGAGGAACACCAGUGGCGAAGGCGGCUACCUGGCCCAUUCUUGACGCUGAGGCGCGAAAGCUAGGGGAGCAAACG
rnacentral:rRNA from 1 species